rnacentral:misc_RNA from 1 species
AAUUAGCUCACGACAAAGAGAGGUUAUAUAUAGAGCAAUGGACCGUGGUUAAUGGCUGUAGCAGCAAAAUGUGAUGGCCUGUAAUGGGAUGUAAUGUGUUUUUUCUGUGAUUCUCAAAUAUCUAUUGUAAAACAGCCUUAACAUGAUGGCAGGCUAUAAAAACAAUACAUAAUGCCCUUUACCUUGUGUAAGGAACCUUUAAACCUUGCCUUUUAUGUGGAAUAGACAUGUUGCUGCAUACAGAUGAAUUCACAUAUUUGGUUUAU